GAUGAACGCUGGCGGCGUGCCUAACACAUGCAAGUCGAGCGGCAGCGAGGGGUGCUUGCACCCUGUCGGCGAGCGGCGGACGGCUGAGUAGCGCGUGGGAACGUGCCCCAAAGUGAGGAAUAACUGCCCGAAAGGGUAGCUAAUACCGCAUAUUAUCUUCGGAUCAAAGGAUUUAUCCGCUUUGGGAGCGGCUCGCGUCGGAUUAGGUAGUUGGUGAGGUAAUGGCUCACCAAGCCGACGAUCCGUAGCUGGUCUGAGAGGAUGACCAGCCAGACUGGAACUGAGACACGGUCCAGACUCCUACGGGAGGCAGCAGUGAGGAAUCUUCCACAAUGGGCGAAAGCCUGAUGGAGCAACGCCGCGUACAGGACGAAGGCCUUCGGGUUGUAAACUGCUUUUAUAAGUGAGGAAUAUGACGGUAACUUAUGAAUAAGGAUCGGCUAACUACGUG
rnacentral:rRNA from 1 species